GCCCAGAGCCUGAAUCAGUGUGUGUGUUAGUGGAAGCGUCUGGAAAGGCGCGCGAUACAGGGUGACAGCCCCGUACACAAAAAUGCACAUAUUGUGAGCUCGAUGAGUAGGGCGGGACACGUGGUAUCCUGUCUGAAUAUGGGGGGACCAUCCUCCAAGGCUAAAUACUCCUGACUGACCGAUAGUGAACCAGUACCGUGAGGGAAAGGCGAAAAGAACCCCGGCGAGGGGAGUGAAAAAGAACCUGAAACCGUGUACGUACAAGCAGUGGGAGCCUCUUUAUGGGGUGACUGCGUACCUUUUGUAUAAUGGGUCAGCGACUUAUAUUCUGUAGCAAGGUUAACCGAAUAGGGGAGCCGAAGGGAAACCGAGUCUUAACUGGGCGUUAAGUUGCAGGGUAUAGACCCGAAACCCGGUGAUCUAGCCAUGGGCAGGUUGAAGGUUGGGUAACACUAACUGGAGGACCGAACCGACUAAUGUUGAAAAAUUAGCGGAUGACUUGUGGCUGGGGGUGAAAGGCCAAUCAAACCGGGAGAUAGCUGGUUCUCCCCGAAAGCUAUUUAGGUAGCGCCUCGUGAAUUCAUCUCCGGGGGUAGAGCACUGUUUCGGCAAGGGGGUCAUCCCGACUUACCAACCCGAUGCAAACUGCGAAUACCGGAGAAUGUUAUCACGGGAGACACACGGCGGGUGCUAACGUCCGUCGUGAAGAGGGAAACAACCCAGACCGCCAGCUAAGGUCCCAAAGUCAUGGUUAAGUGGGAAACGAUGUGGGAAGGCCCAGACAGCCAGGAUGUUGGCUUAGAAGCAGCCAUCAUUUAAAGAAAGCGUAAUAGCUCACUGGUCGAGUCGGCCUGCGCGGAAGAUGUAACGGGGCUAAACCAUGCACCGAAGCUGCGGCAGCGACACUAUGUGUUGUUGGGUAGGGGAGCGUUCUGUAAGCCUGUGAAGGUGGCCUGUGAGGGUUGCUGGAGGUAUCAGAAGUGCGAAUGCUGACAUAAGUAACGAUAAAGCGGGUGAAAAGCCCGCUCGCCGGAAGACCAAGGGUUCCUGUCCAACGUUAAUCGGGGCAGGGUGAGUCGACCCCUAAGGCGAGGCCGAAAGGCGUAGUCGAUGGGAAACAGGUUAAUAUUCCUGUACUUGGUGUUACUGCGAAGGGGGGACGGAGAAGGCUAUGUUGGCCGGGCGACGGUUGUCCCGGUUUAAGCGUGUAGGCUGGUUUUCCAGGCAAAUCCGGAAAACCAAGGCUGAGGCGUGAUGACGAGGCACUACGGUGCUGAAGCGACAAAUGCCCUGCUUCCAGGAAAAGCCUCUAAGCAUCAGGUAACAUCAAAUCGUACCCCAAACCGACACAGGUGGUCAGGUAGAGAAUACCAAGGCGCUUGAGAGAACUCGGGUGAAGGAACUAGGCAAAAUGGUGCCGUAACUUCGGGAGAAGGCACGCUGAUAUGUAGGUGAAGCGACUUGCUCGUGGAGCUGAAAUCAGUCGAAGAUACCAGCUGGCUGCAACUGUUUAUUAAAAACACAGCACUGUGCAAACACGAAAGUGGACGUAUACGGUGUGACGCCUGCCCGGUGCCGGAAGGUUAAUUGAUGGGGUUAGCGGUAACGCGAAGCUCUUGAUCGAAGCCCCGGUAAACGGCGGCCGUAACUAUAACGGUCCUAAGGUAGCGAAAUUCCUUGUCGGGUAAGUUCCGACCUGCACGAAUGGCGUAAUGAUGGCCAGGCUGUCUCCACCCGAGACUCAGUGAAAUUGAACUCGCUGUGAAGAUGCAGUGUACCCGCGGCAAGACGGAAAGACCCCGUGAACCUUUACUAUAGCUUGACACUGAACAUUGAGCCUUGAUGUGUAGGAUAGGUGGGAGGCUUUGAAGUGUGGACGCCAGUCUGCAUGGAGCCGACCUUGAAAUACCACCCUUUAAUGUUUGAUGUUCUAACGUUGGCCCGUAAUCCGGGUUGCGGACAGUGUCUGGUGGGUAGUUUGACUGGGGCGGUCUCCUCCUAAAGAGUAACGGAGGAGCACGAAGGUUGGCUAAUCCUGGUCGGACAUCAGGAGGUUAGUGCAAUGGCAUAAGCCAGCUUGACUGCGAGCGUGACGGCGCGAGCAGGUGCGAAAGCAGGUCAUAGUGAUCCGGUGGUUCUGAAUGGAAGGGCCAUCGCUCAACGGAUAAAAGGUACUCCGGGGAUAACAGGCUGAUACCGCCCAAGAGUUCAUAUCGACGGCGGUGUUUGGCACCUCGAUGUCGGCUCAUCACAUCCUGGGGCUGAAGUAGGUCCCAAGGGUAUGGCUGUUCGCCAUUUAAAGUGGUACGCGAGCUGGGUUUAGAACGUCGUGAGACAGUUCGGUCCCUAUCUGCCGUGGGCGCUGGAGAACUGAGGGGGGCUGCUCCUAGUACGAGAGGACCGGAGUGGACGCAUCACUGGUGUUCGGGUUGUCAUGCCAAUGGCACUGCCCGGUAGCUAAAUGCGGAAGAGAUAAGUGCUGAAAGCAUCUAAGCACGAAACUUGC
rnacentral:rRNA from 1 species